rnacentral:rRNA from 1 species
UACAGAGGUCUCAAGCGUUGUUCGGAUUCAUUGGGCGUAAAGGGUGCGUAGGUGGCGCGCUAAGUCAGGUGUGAAAUUUCGGAGCUUAACUCCGAAACUGCAUUUGAUACUGGCGUGCUUGAGGACUGGAGAGGAGACUGGAAUUCAUGGUGUAGCAGUGAAAUGCGUAGAGAUCAUGAGGAAGACCAGUGGCGAAGGCGGGUCUCUGGGCAGUAACUGACGCUGAGGAGCGAAAGCGUGGGGAGCGAACAGG